UAACAACUAUGGGGUCAUAUUUGGAAGUGGGACUAGGCUGGUCAUAAUGCCAAAUCUUGGUGUUUCAGAACCUUCUGUCUACCAGCUGGAAUCCAAAAAAGAAUCAGGCGACCUAGCCGCUUGCCUCAUUACUGACUAUUCACCUGUUCCCAUCAACAUGAAGUUUAAUGAUAGUUUGGAUCCUGUAGCAGCCAAUGGCUCUGUUGUGGUUGUGAAAGAUGGCGAUAAAGAAUCGGCCAGCCUUGGGGUCGUCCUUUGGAGCAAAAAUAAGGAUCAGUUUCAAUGCUCUGCUAUUUACAAAGGCCAAACCUACAAAGCUGAAAAAGAAGAGGAUGCUACGUGUUCAGAAACUCAGUCCGACACUCCAGUUUUCGAAACAGACGAAAGGUUGAAUCUUCUUUCUCUCACUGUGAUGGGACUGAGAUUGAUAUUUUUCAAGAGCAUUGCUCUCAACUUGAUACUUACCUACUGGGCAUGGUCAAGAUGAGGAAUGUCAGAAAAAUGGAGAACUGGAAUGUUGUCAUUUAGGACUUCAAUAUUUGACUGGACAGAAAACAUGCUACCAGCUUUCCUGAUUGCCUUCUCAGAUUUUUAAACAAAACAGCUUCACUUUUUAAAUCUUCUGUGGAAUAGCUUUUAAAAACACCUGGACAGCUUAUCAAUGCAAAUUCUUGCAUUGUUCUAAUGUACUAUACCGUCUUCUGAAUAUUAUGUGUUAAAGCAUU